GAUGAACGCUAGCGACAGGCUUAACACAUGCAAGUCGAGGGGCAGCGGGGUUGUAGCAAUACAACUGCCGGCGACCGGCGCACGGGUGAGUAACACGUAUGUAACCUGCCCUCUGCAGGGGGAUAAGCGGAAGAAAUUCCGUCUAAUACCGCAUAAUACAAUUUGGAGACAUCUCCGGGUUGUCAAAGGAGUGAUCCGGCAGAGGAUGGACAUGCGGCGCAUUAGCUAGUCGGCGGGGUAACGGCCCACCGAGGCUACGAUGCGUAGGGGUUCUGAGAGGAAGGUCCCCCACACUGGUACUGAGACACGGACCAGACUCCUACGGGAGGCAGCAGUGAGGAAUAUUGGUCAAUGGGCGGAAGCCUGAACCAGCCAAGUCGCGUGAGGGAAGACGGUCCUAUGGAUUGUAAACCUCUUUUGCAGGGGAGCAAGGCGCGGUACGUGUACCGCGAAGGAGAGUACCCUGAGAAAAAGCAUCGGCUAACUCCGUGCCAGCAGCCGCGGUAAUACGGAGGAUGCGAGCGUUAUCCGGAUUUAUUGGGUUUAAAGGGUGCGCAGGCGGACUGUUAAGUCAGCGGUAAAAUGUCGGUGCUCAACACCGGCCGGCCGUUGAAACUGGCAGCCUUGAGUGAGCGAGAAGUAUGCGGAAUGCGUGGUGUAGCGGUGAAAUGCAUAGAUAUCACGCAGAACUCCGAUUGCGAAGGCAGCAUACCGGCGCUCAACUGACGCUCAGGCACGAAAGCGUGGGUAUCGAACAGGCUUAGAUACCCUGGUAGUCCACGCAGUAAACGAUGAAUGCUCACUGUCCGGGCCGUUUAAGGCCUGGGUGGUCAAGCGAAAGCGUUAAGCAUUCCACCUGGGGAGUACGCCGGCAACGGUGAAACUCAAAGGAAUUGACGGGGGCCCGCACAAGCGGAGGAACAUGUGGUUUAAUUCGAUGAUACGCGAGGAACCUUACCCGGGCUCAAACGGAAGGGGACAGUAUGAGAAAUCAUACAUUCCUUCGGGACCGCUUCCGAGGUGCUGCAUGGUUGUCGUCAGCUCGUGCCGUGAGGUGUCGGCUUAAGUGCCAUAACGAGCGCAACCCCUAUCGACAGUUGCUAGCAGGUAAAGCUGAGGACUCUGUCGAGACUGCCGGCGCAAGCUGUGAGGAAGGCGGGGAUGACGUCAAAUCAGCACGGCCCUUACGUCCGGGGCGACACACGUGUUACAAUGGCAGGUACAGCGGGAAGCCACCCGGCGACGGGGCGCAGAACCCGAAAACCUGUCUCAGUUCGGAUUGGAGUCUGCAACCCGACUCCAUGAAGCUGGAUUCGCUAGUAAUCGCGCAUCAGCCACGGCGCGGUGAAUACGUUCCCGGGCCUUGUACACACCGCCCGUCAAGCCAUGGAAGCCGGGGGUGCCUGAAGUGCGUGACCGCAAGGGACGCCCUAGGGUAAAACCGGUGACUGGGGCUAAGUCGUAACAAGGUAGCCGUACCGGAAGGUGCGGCUGGAACACCUCCUUUCUGGAGCAGGGAAGCGCAGAAAACACUUCCGGCACCGAGGAUAGUUGCGCUGAAUCGACUUGAGCGCUCUGUACACUCUUGGCAGUCUAUUGCAUUCGGGGGAUUAGCUCAGCUGGCUAGAGCACCUGCUUUGCAAGCAGGGGGUCAACGGUUCGAAUCCGUUAUUCUCCACACAGAAAGAGAACAUUGACAUACUGGAAGCGUAAAGAUGAGCAAUCAUCUUUGCAAACACGAGCAAAUCAAAAGAAUCAAGACAUACGAACGAGCGCGCGUCGAUAAAACGACGAGCAACGAAGUUCAUGCCGACGCAAAAGCAUUUACAACCCAGUUGUCGCAGUAGCGGCAACGCGUAAACAGGCGAAAAAUCCAAUCUAAAAGGAAAGGAGAAAAGGGCACAUGAAGGAUGCCUUGGCUCUCGGAUGCGACGAAGGACGUGACAAGCUGCGAUAAGCUGUGGCCAGGGGCAAAUACCCGCUAACAACCACAGAUUUCCGAAUGGGGCAACCCACCAUUUCGAUGGUAUCACGCAAAGCGUGAGGCUAACCCGGGGAACUGAAACAUCUAAGUACCCGGAGGAAAAGAAAACAACAGUGAUUGCGCAAGUAGUGGCGAGCGAACGCGCAGGAGCCCAAACCGUUCCUGUUACGGCAGGGACGGGGUUAUAGGACCGUCGCCGGUCCGCCGACAUCAGGUCAGCCGAACGGCUUGGAAAAGCCGGCCAUAGCGGGUGAAAGCCCCUUAGGCGAAGACCUCGACGACAGCGGCAGACGGCACCUGAGUAGUGCGGGACACGCGAAAUCCUGCAUGAAUUCACGGGGACCAUCCCGUAAGGCUAAAUAUUCCCGAGAGACCGAUAGCGAACC
rnacentral:rRNA from 1 species